UACGUAGGGUGCGAGCGUUGUCCGGAAUUAUUGGGCGUAAAGAGCUCGUAGGCGGUCUGUCGCGUCGGAUGUGAAAACUCGGGGCUCAACCCCGAGCCUGCAUUCGAUACGGGCAGACUAGAGUUCGGUAGGGGAGACUGGAAUUCCUGGUGUAGCGGUGAAAUGCGCAGAUAUCAGGAGGAACACCGGUGGCGAAGGCGGGUCUCUGGGCCGAUACUGACGCUGAGGAGCGAAAGCGUGGGGAGCGAGCAGG
rnacentral:rRNA from 1 species